rnacentral:rRNA from 1 species
UACAGAGGUCCCAAGCGUUGUUCGGAUUCAUUGGGCGUAAAGGGUGCGUAGGCGGCGCGGUAAGUCGGGUGUGAAAUCCCUCAGCUCAACUGAGGAAGUGCGCCCGAAACUGCAGAGCUUGAGUACCGGAGAGGAUGGCGGAAUUCCCGAAGUAGAGGUGAAAUUCGUAGAUAUCGGGAGGAACACCGGUGGCGAAGGCGGCCAUCUGGACGGAUACUGACGCUGAGACGCGAAAGCGUGGGGAGCAAACAGG